rnacentral:rRNA from 1 species
UACGGGGGGGGGUAAGCGUUGUUCGGAAUUACUGGGCGUAAAGGGCGCGUAGGCGGCCGCCUAAGUCAGACGUGAAAUCCCUCGGCUCAACCUGGGAACUGCGUCUGAUACUGGAGGGCUUGAGUGCGGGAGAGGGAUGUGGAAUUCCAGGUGUAGCGGUGAAAUGCGUAGAUAUCUGGAGGAACACCGGUGGCGAAGGCGGCAUCCUGGACCGACACUGACGCUGAGGCGCGAAAGGCUAGGGUAGCAAACGGG